rnacentral:rRNA from 1 species
AGGACGAACGCUGGCGGCGUGCUUAACACAUGCAAGUCGAACGGUGAAGCCUUUCGGGGUGGAUCAGUGGCGAACGGGUGAGUAACACGUGGGCAAUCUGCCCUGCAUUCUGGGACAAGCCUUGGAAACGAGGUCUAAUACCGGAUACGACGCAUUCCCCGCAUGGGGUGUGCGUGGAAAGCUCGGCGAUGCAGGAUGAGCCCGCGGCCUAUCAGCUUGUUGGUGGGGUGAUGGCCUACCAAGGCGACGACGGGUA